UUCCAAACAAAGCGCGAUUAACACGGCAAAUUUACAGAAAGGUGUUGUUUUGACCUUAUUUGAAGAUUUUAAGGGAUAAAAACAUCGAAAACGUACUAAUCCUGCAUUCAUCAUGGUUAUGUGCUGGGCUCCGGAUUGCAAGCACUACAAUGAACGAGUAACUUGAAAGUUUUUUCAAUUUCCAAAGGACCCUAAGGAACGAAACCGAUGGAAAAAACUUGUGAGGCGUAAUGAGGAACCUGGACCUGGUGCAUUCUUAUGCAGUUGUCAUUUCCGUGACGCUAAGAGAGAAAAUGGGCCUGAAAUCUUCUUACACAAUGUGACAAAGAAAUUCACUUAUACAAGUCCUGAAAAGAGAAAAAGAAGAGAGCACCAAGUGGUAUUUGAGGAACAUCCGGAAGGUCUACCAGCAAAACGUCGACUUGAAGGUCUUUUUCAACCAGAUAUGACAUCUGCACCAUCCGAAAUGGAAAUGUGAGUGAUAUUUAUGUCAAACGUUAUACAAAUUUGUCAAAGUGAAUAAACUUGGUUCAUCAAGUUUGUGUGUGACUGUAAUUAAAUCGAGUUUUUGAUCGCCCCUUUUAUUAACAUUUCAACGUGUUUUAUUUUCAAAUAUAAUAACAAAUUUUCUUUCAGCAUUGCUGUGGAUGAUCCCAGCAGCAGUACCGGAACCAGUGUCUCGAGCUAUCUUCCAGGACCUUCCCAACCAGGCUCCUUAGUAGAACCACAACCGUCAUGUUCCAA